rnacentral:rRNA from 1 species
ACGCUCGACACCUACGGGACGCAGCAGUAGGGAAUCUUCCACAAUGGGCGCAAGCCUGAUGGAGCAACACCGCGUGAGUGAAGAAGGGUUUCGGCUCGUAAAGCUCUGUUGUUGGAGAAGAACGUGCGUGAGAGUAACUGUUCACGCAGUGACGGUAUCCAACCAGAAAGUCACGGCUAACUACGUGCAAGCAGCCGCGGUAAUCUGAGCGGGCUGGCAAGGC